rnacentral:rRNA from 1 species
UACGUAGGGUGCGAGCGUUAAUCGGAAUUACUGGGCGUAAAGCGUGCGCAGGCGGUUAGCCAAGUCCGGUGUGAAAUCCCCGGGCUUAACCUGGGAAUUGCGCUUGAAACUAGCGGGCUUGAGUGUGGCAGAGGGGGGUGGAAUUCCACGUGUAGCAGUGAAAUGCGUAGAGAUGUGGAGGAACACCGAUGGCGAAGGCAGCCCCCUGGGUCAACACUGACGCUCAUGCACGAAAGCGUGGGGAGCAAACAGG